rnacentral:rRNA from 1 species
AGAGUUGAUCCUGGCUUAGGAUGAACGCUGGCGGCGUGCAUAACACAUCAAGUCGAACGGAGCACAGACCGGAAGGCCUUCGGGCCGGAAGGACUGUGACUUAGUGGCGGACGGGUGAGUAACGCGUGAGCAACCCGCCUGUGAUAGGGGAAUAACACACGGAAACGUGUGCUAAUACCGCAUGAGGCACAGAAUUCGCAUGAAACUGUGUUAAAGAGAAAUCGAUCACAGAUGGGCUCGCGUAUGAUUAGGUAGUUGGUAAGGUAAGGGCUUACCAAGCCUGCGAUCAUUAGCCGAACUGAGAGGUUGAACGGCCACAUUGGAACUGAGAAACGGUCCAGACUCCUACGGGAGGCAGCAGUGGGGAAUAUUGGGCAAUGGGCGAAAGCCUGACCCAGCCGACGCCGCGUGAGGGAAGAAGGUCUUCGGAUUGUAAACCUCUUUCAGCAGGGAAGAAGAAAGUGACGGUACCUGCAGAAGAAGUCACGGCUAACUACGUGCCAGCAGCAGC